rnacentral:rRNA from 1 species
AGAGUUUGAUCCUGGCUCAGAUUGAACGCUGGCGGCAUGCCUUACACAUGCAAGUCGAACGGCAGCACGGGUGCUUGCACCUGGUGGCGAGUGGCGAACGGGUGAGUAAUACAUCGGAACGUACCUUAUCGUGGGGGAUAACGCAGCGAAAGCUGUGCUAAUACCGCAUACGCCCUGAGGGGGAAAGCGGGGGAUCGAAAGACCUCGCGCGAUUAGAGCGGCCGAUGCCUGAUUAGCUUGUUGGUGGGGUAAAAGCCCACCAAGGCGACGAUCAGUAGCUGGUCUGAGAGGACGAUCAGCCACACUGGGACUGAGACACGGCCCAGACUCCUACGGGAGGCAGCAGUGGGGAAUUUUGGACAAUGGGGGCAACCCUGAUCCAGCAAUGCCGCGUGAGUGAAGAAGGCCUUCGGGUUGUAAAGCUCUUUUGUCAGGGAAGAAACACCGGCUCUAACACAGUCCGGGAAUGACGGUACCUGAAGAAUAAGCACCGGCUAACUACGUGCCAGCAGCCGCGGUAAUACGUAGGGUGCGAGCGUUAAUCGGAAUUACUGGGCGUAAAGCGUGCGCAGGCGGUUAUACAAGACAGGCGUGAAAUCCCCGGGCUUAACCUGGGAAUGGCGCCUGUGACUGUAUAGCUAGAGUGUGUCAGAGGGGGGUAGAAUUCCACGUGUAGCAGUGAAAUGCGUAGAUAUGUGGAGGAAUACCAAUGGCGAAGGCAGCCCCCUGGGAUAACACUGACGCUCAUGCACGAAAGCGUGGGGAGCAAACAGGAUUAGAUACCCUGGUAGUCCACGCCCUAAACGAUGCUGACUAGUUGUUCGGGAUUUACAUCCUGAGUAACGUAGCUAACGCGUGAAGUCAGCCGCCUGGGGGAGUACGGUCCGCAAGAUUAAAACUCAAAGGAAU